UACGAAGGGGGCUAGCGUUGCUCGGAAUCACUGGGCGUAAAGGGUGCGUAGGCGGGUCUUUUAAGUCAGGGGUGAAAUCCUGGAGCUCAACUCCAGAACUGCCUUUGAUACUGAAGAUCUUGAGUUCGGGAGAGGUGAGUGGAACUGCGAGUGUAGAGGUGAAAUUCGUAGAUAUUCGCAAGAACACCAGUGGCGAAGGCGGCUCACUGGUCCGGUACUGACGCUGAGGUGCGAAAGCGUGGGGAGCGAACAGG
rnacentral:rRNA from 1 species